UAGGGUUUCAGCUGUGCCAGGGAGGGGUAGAGAUUGAGGGAGGGAGAGAGAUAGGAAGAAAGUGAGAAUCAGGUAGAGAGAAGGUGGAGAGAGUGUAAAAACAGAGAUGGAGUGGCAGAAAGGCUGGAAGACAGAACUAGGGGUGGGCUUGAGUCUGUAUUUCCCCCCUCCCCCAUCACCACACAAUGCAGAGAGCCAAACCACUAUCAGUGCUUUUGUCCAUACUCCCCCAUUAAAGUGAGAGGGCACAGAGAGGGGGAGAGGAGGAGGAGGGUGAAAAGAAGAGAGAGCUGAUGUUAAGUGUUAUCCUGAGGCGGCGUUGGUGGAAUUUUUCGAUGGGGUCCAGGCUUCCACACUGUAUAGCAGGGUAGGAAUGAUCGCACACACACACGCACACAAACUGUGGUGGAAAACUGUCCUAUACCCCCCUCCUUCUUAAUCACAUACGCGCAUGAAACUGAACAGGCAAAGAGCCUGGGUCUGUAUCAAACACAUGUAGAGCAGAAUAAGUCAAAGAGCAGUAAUUGGAUAGAGAUGUUUCGGAUGUUACUGAGACAGAAUCCUGGAAGUUUUCAGUACUGCAGUGACAGUGAGAGUGAGAGGGGAGGGAGGGAGAGGGAAUAGACAGAGCGAGGC
rnacentral:lncRNA from 1 species